AUCCUCCAAGGCUAAAUACUCCUGACUGACCGAUAGUGAACCAGUACCGUGAGGGAAAGGCGAAAAGAACCCCGGCGAGGGGAGUGAAAAAGAACCUGAAACCGUGUACGUACAAGCAGUGGGAGCACCCUUCGGGGUGUGACUGCGUACCUUUUGUAUAAUGGGUCAGCGACUUAUAUUCUGUAGCAAGGUUAACCGCAUAGGGGAGCCGAAGGGAAACCGAGUCUUAACUGGGCGUUAAGUUGCAGGGUAUAGACCCGAAACC
rnacentral:ncRNA from 2 species